GCCCAGCAGCGGCAGCAGAGGCGGCAGCAACAACAACAAAAAGCUCGCAGCGGCAGCGGCAGCCCAGCCUGGAGCGGCUCUCUCCUCCGACCAGGAUCGAGGGAGGCUGAAGCAACUCUGUUCGCCCCCAGCCCCCAGCCGGCCACCUCCUCCGCCACCUCCUCGCCGCCGCCGCCGCCUCCUCCGGGCGCUGCCAGCGGACGCUGCCUUGCAACAUGCCGAGGAGGAAACAGCAAGCGCCCCGGCGCGCAGCAGGUACGAGCCAGGCGCUCCCCCCACAUCCUCUCUUCCCAGAAUCUGCCACUCCAGGUUAGAUUCCGCCCUGCACCCCGCUCCUCUCUUGACCGCUGGUUAGCCAGCCUCUCUUUCGCUCCUUCUCUCUCCCACGAUUUAGGAAGCAGGGUGGGGUUGUGGGGGGUUGGUUGGUGGGAAUAGCCACCCUCUCAGCGCCUUACUUUUGAUUUUAUUGGGGCUGAGACCCUUGGAUUCCGGAGCUUUGGGGCACUUUCCUGAACUGUGCAUCAUCUGGGUGACUUGUACAAAGAGGGCCGUUGGGGUCCUCUUUGGCUUCCCCACCGCCUUCCUGGUUCCCUCUCCCAGUUUUUCACCCCAAAUGUUAUUUAUUUAUGGUUUCUUGUGCCAGAGAAGGUGGUUUGGCAGGCGGCACAGAGAGACGCUUAGGACCAUGUGGAUAAAAUUCCUUCACCCAACUUUCUUUCUUUGCCUUUGGGGGUGACACCGAGAGAGGGGGGCAUCACCACCAGACACCCUCUUCUUUCAGAAUGGGCACUUCCUUUGACACCCUCCACGCUAUUGAUUUCUAAUUUAUAAGACUAAGCUGCACAGGAAACCAGAGCAAAGGAAAAAAAGAGGAAAAACGGUUCUGGAUAUUGUUAGAUGGUUGUCAAGAAUCUUUUUUUACAUUCCUUUUUACACUUUCCAGAGUUUGUUUUUUAGGAUAUCCAUAUACUUUUCCCUUUUAACUUUUUUUUUUUUUUAAAAAAAAAAACCUGGUCCACUUUAUUUAUCAUCAGCAGUGCUAGCUCUUGUUAAAUUUGCAAACCGGAUAUUUUUGUGUGUGGAAAGGCCAGGUUUGCAAAACAAAUACUUCUUCCUUCCUCCAUGCCUUCCUUUUAAAAACAAAACACCAAACACCAAACCCCUUACCUUUUAUUUUUGCAGCCCUUUUUAAGGCAAGGGGUGGGUGGAGAUCUGGGUCUGGAGCAGAGUUUCCUUGGCCUGUUGCCAUCCUUGAUUUGAUGGCUGAUUGAUUGCCUGUCAUCCAGUUGCCUUUGAUCUAUUCAUUCCCAAUAAACCUCAAUAAAUCACUUGCCAUGGUAACGCCAGACUCUGUAUGACAUCACACACGUGGCCUGUCAGCUCUGCCAGUGUAACUUUCAGGGUUUCUGGUUUGCUUUAGUUGGGGUGGCAUGGACGGAGAGAGUUGAUUAGGGGAGAUCUUCUUGCACUGGAAGAUCCCCUCCUUGCAGAGUACUGAAGGGGAGAGGAUCAGUAUUCCGUGGAUAUUGAAGUGUGGGAGAUGAAGUUCUUGUAAUCUUUAGGAAGUAGACAUAUAUGCAAGGUAUGCUGGAAUGCCUUUUGAUUUGGUUGUCGUACUAUGUUUAAUCAGGGAGUUUAUCAUUUCUUGUGGCAAUGAGAAGGAAGGUAUACUUCUCAACAGCAUCUUCUCAGAAAUGGCAUGGUCUACAAGAUAACCAGGCAGGCAGGCUGGCAGGCUGGCUGGCUCUCAUGGGCGACAAGUUUGAUUUUUCUCGAAAUGAAUCAUCAUGCAUGGCAUACAUGCAUCUUAACUUCAUUCCUACAUAUCCAUUUUCCCCAAAGCAUGCCUCACCGAUCGCCUUCCUUUCUUGAAGUUGUGAUAGGAAGAAACUCUUUGUUUCCUCCUUGCAACACUUUAGCACUUUGCUCAGGAGCUGGGAAGUUAAGGAAAAGUUUCUGUUUGUAACAAACACAAUGACGUAGGCACCUAUCCCGUCUUUUGCCUUUCAGAUGAAUGUGAAGAAAUGCUUGAAAGGUGAAUUCAGAAGUUUCCCCUAACAAUGAUUAAUUUCACUGGAAAGGAAAUAUCUUCCAGGAGGUUCAGGCCUGUUCCUGAGGGCUAAACCAAGUUUUGAACUUGCAGUGUUCAGGAAAGGAAAGUCUCCAGACCUCUGCUGGAAUUGGGGUUGGGCUGUGCUUUCUGCUGAAUCUUUAUAUUUUGAGGCAUGCUUUCUUCUUUAUAUAUAUGCAGUUCUCACAAACAACUUACGAUGUGUGCUGCACUGAGCAAAAGUGAAAUCUCUCCUAGCUAACAACAGUACAGAUUUUGAAUAAAGCUGAGCACCUUUGGCUGAAGCAUUUAAAUCACUUUAAAAAAAUAAAAUAAAAAGGAAAACUAAUAUAGCAGCAUUUUUUUUAAUGAAAAGAAAGAAAAGAGCUUUUCAAUGUAAAGUAGCAGGUUAUUUAAGAAAUAUUCAUUAACAAAAAAAAAAAAAAAAGGGAAUUCGGGACUAAUAGGAGAUGGAAGAAUGGAUUUGCUCUAUCAAAAUGACCCGUCAAAAUGACUUUGUUUCAUAUUUGAUUUAAUUGUCUCUCUCCUGACAGGCACAUUUAUCAAUAGCUUAAUGGUCAAUCAGAAGUUGGCAGAGUGAAUGCUUUCAUUCUUUCUCAUACACUUGCCUUGCCUUUACUUUAUCAAAAUGCCUUUGGCUAAUGGAUAUAGGGAGUGGGGGUAGAGAAUGAAUGAGAUCUGCUUAUUUAAGGCAAGUGGAACAAAACUAUGCUGUUGGUAUAGGAAAAAAUAGCUGAGGAGAUUAUUAUUAUUAUUAUUAUUAUUAUUAUUAUUAUUAUUUUAAAAACCAUUUGAUGCAGCAGAAAGUUUUUUUUAAAAAAUGUUUUCUUUUCUUUUUUAUUUAACAGCUGCAACUUGUAAGGUCCGUGACUGCUUUUGUGGUAUACUCAGAGCGAUGACAAAUUUAUUGCUUUGUACUGAUAGAGCAAAGAGGAGGAAAAACAGGGGGGGGGGGGUAGAGGGAGAGUAUGUGUGUUGGAGAGAGGAGACAUACACAUUACAUAUCCCUUGAUUCGUCACUCAGGAAAUCCAGUCUCCAGCAACCUUGAGAAUACUCUAGGAAAAAAAAAAUCCCCCUCCAAACUGAAAGGUCCGCUCAGCCAUAAAAAAAGAAAAGUUGUUUUGCCAGCUUCAUUAGUGUUCACCUAAUUAGCUGUAAACCUGAUGGAUUCCUGACAGCUUUAAUGAUUGGAGAUGACAAGCUCCACGCAGUGUCAUCCAGCGGAAUUAGGUUUGGAGCUAGUUUGAUGUAAUCAAGUUGAUAUUACACAGUCCUGGUUGCCUUUAGUUGUGCAUUAACUCAAUUUUCUGCUGCAGGUGACAAAUGGGCUUUGGUACCUGGAUAAUCAUGUCAUAGGAAUUAGGGCCCUCGUAAUGGUCUGGAGUUGAAUAACAACAACAAAGGACUCUCGGCAGCGUAGAGAGAGCUUGCAGCAGGUAUUGCAGACAGGUGCGCAAAUCCUUCAUGUCUAGCCCAAGUGUGAACACCACAAGGGAGAAGACUAAAGCUGUCUUGAAGAAUCAGAGAAAUCUGUAAAAAUGAUGGUGUCUGUUUGUUUACUUUAGGACUUGGGCUGAGUAGGGUGGAUGAGAGGAGAGGGGAUGGAGGCACUGAACAGGGUUUCUAAGAGGUACCAAAAGGUUUUAUUUGGAUAGCAUUCUCCCUCCCCCCGAGUUUUCAUCAUUUAAGUUGGAAAAUGGUGUGUGCUGAGAAGGGGAACAGCAUUUAUUGCUGAUUAGGAAAGUGUGGAGAUUCUGCAUUUAACAGAGGCCAUUCUAGUUCAUGCAAGCCAUAAUUAUCUCACUUGGAUUUACAAGCUUCCAUAUAUUGCUUUUAAAAAAUAAAAUCUUCCUCUUUCAAUGAUUGAGAAAAGAUUAUUGCUGUUUCCUUUUUCAGGUGGGGUUGGACAUGAUGGCUGGGAAUUGUAAAGGUCCCCUAGAACUGCUUUCAGAGUGCCAUUAUAAUACACAUUGAACUCAGUGGGGCUUGUUUCUGAGUAGGCAUGUAUAGGGCUGUGUGGUUAAAGAUGCAGCUCACCUUGGUGUUGUUAUGGUGGAAUUAGAGAUUUCUCGCUUUGCACCCUGAGGAUGUUGCCACCCCACCUUCAAACAAUAAGGCAGAGCAAAUCUGAUCUGAGGCCUGGAAAAAUUACAGCAAAGGCUUCAGGUGUGAUCCAGAAUACUUAACACCAAUGGGAAUUAUGUCAUGGGUUUCAGUGCUAUGUGGAUUCCACCAUCAGCUCUGCAAAAUAUGCUUUAUUUUCCACAACUGUACAUGUAGUUCUAUUAAAAUCCUUAAAUUGACUUCUGCUCCUGAAAAGGACUUAAGUCAGCAGGAAAAUGUACAAAUAGAAAUAGAUGGAUUUUAUUUUACUUCUCUCCCAUGGAAACCUGUUUGGUUAUCAGAGAUCGCAGUGAAAUUUACAAGUUCUUAUAGCCUUGGUGGCGGUAGGAGAUAAUCUGCCAUACAGGCUGAAUUAUAAUGCUUAGGUCUUCAGGUGAAAUCCAGAAUUUGGGAAUAUGAGUUCAGGAAGUUGAGAGUAACCCCUAAAAAAAGUUUGUACACCACAAGUAGUGUGUGUGUGUGUGUGUGUGUGUGUGUGUAGAACUGCAUGCUGUGAUAAAGUAAACUCUCUUCCUGAGUCCCUCCAGCCUCAGCCUCUGGGACUUUCCUUUGCUUACAAACCUGCCACAUAUUUCUCUGUGGGGCACAGAGUCUUCUUAGCUGACAAAAUGAUUAGUUAUGGUUAAGGUUGUCCUUUGCAGCCCCUUACCCCUCAAAAUAAAAUUUAAAAGUGUGGGAAACAAUGAGCAAAAGGAGGUGAGGGAGAGAGUGGAGCGUAAACGUUUGAAAAAGGAAGGAAGUCCUGAUUCCACUGAAUGGCUUGUUGGGAAAGGGAAUUUUCUAGAAUCAGCUGCCACUGCUCCCAUUAGCUUGACAGCUGUCAAUUAGCCCUUCAGUAGUCUCCUGGGCCACAGUUUAUUGCGUGCAGUUGAUGUUGUCAUUUUGUUCUUCAUUUUGCCUUGAGCACUAUGAUGAGCUGGAGUGAAAUAGUCAAUAACUGAUGUAUCAGCAGUUAUUUCUUAAAUUGGCUCACAAGUCUGCAUUUCCCCCCUUUUUUAUAGUAAAGAUUGUUUUGUAAAGUGAUUAGAAUGAAUUGUGACUGCUACAGGGUUAUGGGGAAUGCGGUCUAGCUUGGGGGGGGUGUUAGGAGGAUUAUUUUUGGUGCCUUUUUUUUUUUGGUCUAGGUUGUUUUCAGGAUCAGUGUGAAUGUGAAUGCAUUAAAGGAAAGAGAGGGGAAGAGAGCGCACGACCGAGAGCAUCUUCAGAGGAAAGUGCAAAGGAAAUUGUGAAGGGUACAAGCUGCACACUUAGAUGCAUGCAUAUGGAACAGUGAAAGUGCGAAUAAAAAUAAAUUUAUUUGCCAUUGAGAGAGAGGGGGUGGGAGAGAGGGAGAGAGUCUGCCCUGUAGCUUUUUACAUAAACCUUGCAAGCAUCCCCUCAAAACUGUGCAGCAAUCCAUAUUUUAACCCGUUGUUUUGGCCAGUCUGAAGACAAUCCUAGCUACAGCGAUUCCAUUUGCAAAUUCUUAAUAUUAGACCCACUGUCUUUCAAAACAAAAAAUAAAAUAACAAGCAAACCAAAAUGCCUCAGCGUUAUUCAGGAAAGUAGGUGUAUAUUUGCGCUCUAACAGUGCGCUAUAAAGCAACAGACUUAAACCUUACAUUAUUUACAAAACCAUUUAGUAUCAUGUUCAGGACCACCCACUUCCAGGUAUUCAAGGCUUUGAAUUCUUUCCAUUAUUCUGUUGCACCCCAAAUUGGGGUUUUCUCUGUUGAAGGAUUAGAGUUUUCUUUUUUUAAAAAAAGAAAGAAAGAAAGAAAAACCCUGAAAGGUGAAUACAAUGUAUUGUAUUUAAUAACAAUGAUAUGGACUGGUACAUCCAGACAGAUAAUAUGCAGUUGUAAUUAGACUGAAUAGACAGGCAUUCAUUUUUAAAUUUUUUGACACAUGCAUAAAAUAGUCAUAUAAUAAGAUAAGAUGACAAUUUUAUGUUAGGUUGAUAAAGUGUCCCGAUACAUGCAUUUAAAUGUCUGUAAGCCCUUUUUUAUCCAGACAGAUUAAUUCUAGUUUUUCAGCAUUUGCAGAGUCAUUAAAUUAAUUUCCAGAAUCCCACUAAACAAGUGAAUUUUUGUGUGUUUCACUUACAUACAGGGGUGGAGACUGGAAUCGUUGUGGUUAGGCUUUUUUGUUUGAGUAUAUUUGCAUUG